UCACAGGGCAUUUUUUAAUUUUCUCACUUUAAAUGACUUUAUAAGAAAAUGGAUGUGUACGGUAUCUGUAUGUAUGGGGUAGGCAGGGAGAAUAGAGUAUGAGAUACUUGAGCGGGAAUAUUUAUUUUUUUUGCUCCCUGCAAACGGCUACCACCACCAUAUCUUAAUGAAGCUGCAAACAAAUCUCUCAUGCCUCGUGCAAAAGCUGAGAGACAACAAAGCAGCAGAAAUAACAGAAGGGCCCGGAUAAUUAAACUGGCCUGAAGACAGGUAUUCAAAUGUUGGUGUGUAAACAGCACAACUCUUUAAUAGUUUAGCUGUAAAAUGCGUAGUUAAGCACAUCAGCACUUGCCUCUCCCAUCUGUCCAAACACAUUACCGUUGCAGAGGCCAUUACAGCACUGGAGUACAGUCCCACUGCACCACUGCCACGUAUUAUGGGGGGGGGGUUGAAUGGGGCUUCUGGGAAAACUAACAGUGGCCCAUUGGCAUUAUCUGCAUGCAUCGUGGGGUCAUGUAUUAUAAAGCAUCACGGUGCACUUUGACAAAUGGGGGAGGUUAAGAACAAAAUCUGUUACAUACACACAUAGAAGCGCUUGAUGUCCAUUUUAUACAUUUUAAAGAGCAAAAGUUUCAAAUCUAUAUUUCCAGAUUUAGUGCGCAAGUCAACUUUUCCUUUGUCAAGCCUGGUGCUGAUUAGUUCUUCUUUCCUUGGUUUGGUUAUUCUGCCCCUUAAAGUUCUCAUCUCUGUCUAUUGGCUCUGUGCUGGUCUUAAUUGUGAAGUGAGGCUAGUGGUGCCUGAAGCCACAGAGAGGGUUGUAAUUAAAGACCUCUACUCUUCUUGUCUUCAAAUCAGCUCCAACUCCUCCUGGUCAAAUGGGAACAAGCUCCUCGCACCUACGAAUAUCAAGUAGCUGCAUGUUGUUAACCUCCACUUCUUUCUUUAACAAAGCUUUAUCAUAGGAGGAGUAAGUGACAGCGCCACACACAAAACAACUUCCCCGUCAACUUCCCUGGAUCUUGUGGAAAUAUUUAUCACAAAUCGUGGAUGAAUAAUAUCUGUAUCUGCACCUGACAGCAGACGGUGCUGUGACAAACACUAAACAAAGCCUCCUCAUGAAUACUGGUAAAUAUUUGGACUGUUUCUGGAUCAUCAGAGUCGAACACAUUAGGAUGACUCAUGGCUGUCAACCUGGCCGUCACAAUCCCGAGCCGGAGCAAGCGGCAGAAAGGAAAACGCUGAGCUAGACCCGAGUGGGAACAUCAUUCACAGGGUCAAACAAGUUUACUAUUAUUGACGGAACGCUAAACUAGAAUUAGCUGACUCUACUAUUAUUUCACUAAGGCACUGACACAGAUUGACUCUCUCCCUCUACUUCACUCUCUUCCGCCUCCUCCUUCUCAUGUUUCGUCUCGGCCACUAGGAGGCACUCUUCUCAUGCUCAAGCUGCAGCUGGUGGAUGUUUUGCUGUGAUGAUGCAGAGACACCUCAGACAUGGCAGAGCAGCAUAGACGCCAGUCUGCCUAUACAUCAUUGCAGGUGUCCUGUCAGCCUGAGACAAUACCAGCCACAAAUUCCUACAGUACAAAGCUGUUCUCCCUCAUUAGCUGCCACACACACAGUCAGCUCCUCCCUGUCCACGGUAAAGUGGAGUAGACUAUUAAAGGAAAGCUCUGACUGGCUCCUCUCCGCUCCGCUCUGCUUUAUUCUUUAUUUGGACAGGUUUGUUCCAUUGAGCACUCUAUUAGCUAUCCUUCUCUGCGGGUAGUGCUGCCUGUGUCCUGGUUGUGGCCAGUCGACAUGUGUUUACUGCGGCCCCUGCUGUGGCGGCAGGCUGGUUGGGGGCCCGUCCUGACCAAGCCCUGCUAAUGGGACCAGAAGACCCCUCGUGACAGGGCGCCGCUGUGUUGAGCACCGCAGCAAACCCUACCCCUCCCUUCCCUCCAGCUGCGGCCUCAUGGCCCAUGUCCCCCUACCCAUCAUGCCUCAGCGGGAGCAGGUGAACGGCGGAGGGCCAACGCCGGUGAGCUUGGUUUUCCUGGGAGAGCAGUGCGCCAUCGCCACGCGCCUCAGUGGUUCCUCCAACAUGGCUCCGGCCCUACGCCACAUGGACUGGCUGGCCAGUCUGUGUCUGUGUGUUUUUAAGUGUGUGGGUGUAUGUGUGUGUGUGUGUGUGUGUGUGUGUGUGUGUAUGUGGGGGUGUAUGGUGGAUGCCAGCCCUAAUGCAAAUGCUUGCCGUCUAAAAAAUGGGAGCCUCUCUCCUCCUCUGUCUCUCCUCUUUGGAAAGGUCUAUUUUGGCCUUCUGGUGCUGGCAGUUAUUUUCCUCCUCUCCAGAAGGACAGAGAGCCAGAGAGAUGCACCUGUCAUCCAUUUUGAAAUUCAACAUUAUUGAUCUGGUCACGAGGAAUGGAAUUUAUGAAGUUAUGUGUUUUUCUUCAUGAAUACUUUGAUUUGUGCCUUAAAACAUACCUAUUUCUCUUUUGCAACGUGUUUCUGCACCUUAUUUACAAGCAUUCUAAUUUGGUGUUCACAGCACAGCAAUACACAAAGAGUACACACACACACACGCACACACACACACACACACUCUGGCACACACAUACACACACCAGUCACUGGUGCAACUUCCCAGCAUGCCCUCUGUCUCUGCACCCCUGUAAUUCUACAUAUUGCUUAAAGUAUGUGCUAAUUAAAUUUUCUGUCGGUUUGCAAGAGAAAUAAAUAAUCUGCAGCUAAAA